ACGUUUCGAAGGAGCUAAUACCGCAUACGUCCUACGGGAGAAAGCAGGGGACCUUCGGGCCUUGCGCUAUCAGAUGAGCCUAGGUCGGAUUAGCUAGUUGGUGAGGUAAUGGCUCACCAAGGCGACGAUCCGUAACUGGUCUGAGAGGAUGAUCAGUCACACUGGAACUGAGACACGGUCCAGACUCCUACGGGAGGCAGCAGUGGGGAAUAUUGGACAAUGGGCGAAAGCCUGAUCCAGCCAUGCCGCGUGUGUGAAGAAGGUCUUCGGAUUGUAAAGCACUUUAAGUUGGGAGGAAGGGCAGUAAGUUAAUACCUUGCUGUUUUGACGUUACCGACAGAAUAAGCACCGGCUAACUCUGUGCCAGCAGCCGCGGUAAUACAGAGGGUGCAAGCGUUAAUCGGAAUUACUGGGCGUAAAGCGCGCGUAGGUGGUUCGUUAAGUUGGAUGUGAAAGCCCCGGGCUCAACCUGGGAACUGCAUCCAAAACUGGCGAGCUAGAGUAUGGUAGAGGGUGGUGAAUUUUCCUGUGUAGCGGUGAAAUGCGUAGAUAUAGGAAAGGAACCACCAGUGG
rnacentral:rRNA from 1 species